CCUACGGGCGGCAGCAGUGAGGAAUAUUGGUCAAUGGGCUUACGCCUGAACCAGCCAAGUCGCGUGAGGGAAGACUGCCCAAUGGGUUGUAAACCUCUUUUGUCAGGGAGCAACGCCGGCUACGUGUAGCCGGACUGAGAGUACCUGAAGAAAAAGCAUCGGCUAACUCCGUGCCAGCAGCCGCGGUAAUACGGGGGAUGCGAGCGUUAUCCGGAUUUAUUGGGUUUAAAGGGUGCGUAGGCGGACUGCCAAGUCAGCGGUAAAAUCGCGGGGCUCAACCCCGCUCCGCCGUUGAAACUGGCGGUCUGGAGUGGGCGAGAAGUAUGCGGAAUGCGUGGUGUAGCGGUGAAAUGCUUAGAUAUCGCGCAGAACUCCGAUUGCGAAGGCAGCAUACCGGCUCCCCACGGACGCUGAAGCACGAAAGCGUGGGUAUCGAACAGGAUUAGAUACCCUUGUAGUC
rnacentral:rRNA from 1 species